ACACGACUACAUUAGAUACCCGCGUAGUCCUAGCCGUAAACGAUACUCGCUAGGUGUCGGCCACGGUGCGACCGUUGUCGGUGCCGUAGGGAAGCCGUGAAGCGAGCCACCUGGGAAGUACGGCCGCAAGGCUGAAACUUAAAGGAAUUGGCGGGGAGCACAACAACGGGUGGAGCUUGCGGUUUAAUUGGAUUCAACGCCGGAAAUCUUACCGGGACCGACAGCAACAUGAAGGCCAAGCUGAAGACUUUGCCGGAUUAGCUG
rnacentral:rRNA from 1 species